UUUUUGAUCAUUUCUUUUCUUCUUGAUUUUACAAUUUUUGAUCUUGAUAAAAAACAGAGCUAACCCAUAUCAUGAUUUCUCAAUGCUUCUUAUUCCCCAUCUCAAUUUUUGAUCUUGAUAAAAAAAAACAGAGCUAACCCGGCGAAGGCACAGCGGCAGCAGAGGUGGAACCACCCAAAACCACCCUGCACCACCACCGCCGCAACCACCACAGUCGGAGAUCAACGCCAAUCGAUACGUAUUCGUCGCAGCCACACCCUACCCUUCCCAAUACCCUAACCCUAACCCUAAUUCAUCUGCCCCUCAUCCCCCUUAUUACCAAUACCCCACCGGAGCAUACUACCCGCCGCCGCCGCCGACAGAACCGUUACCUGCUCUGUACAAUCACCACCACCGUGUGCCGGUGGACCCUGCCGCUCAGGCGAUGGUGGGUGGGAGGUACCCUUGUGGGUCUGUGAUGCACUCGCCUACACCUUAUGUUGAUCACCAAAAGGCGUUACUAUUAGGAAUAAUGUUAAUCUCAAGAAAGAAACUUUGAAAGUUGAACCUGAUGAACAACACCCUGGGAAGUUUCUUGUUGUUUUUACUUAUGAUGCUACUGUUGCUGGCAGAUUGAAAAGUUGAACUUAGUUAUCAAGGAGCUCGUUAAGGAAAAUGAUGAAGAAAAAGAAAGGUUAAAUGGAAUUAUUGUCGGGUUUUUGGGUUUUUGGCUGAAAAGAAAAAAGAUAAGGUGGAUAAAGAUGCUAUGCUCGAUACGAUGCCACAAAUUGAAGCUAUGUUAACAAGUACAAUUUGAAGAUAGGCUACAAACACUUGGUUUUGAAUGUUUCGAUGUUUAUCAUAUUAGGAUUUUUUUAGUUAUUUGAUGUUUUAGCUGGUAUUUCUAUUAGAAUGUUUUAUAUGCUUUUGAUACACAUAUGUUUUAUAUAAUUUUGGGUUUUCGUGAUCUUAUUAGACUUUUUAUAUAAUUUUGUAAUUUUAUUGAUUAUGUAAUUU
rnacentral:lncRNA from 1 species